CACAAAAUGUACAUAGAGACUAA
rnacentral:siRNA from 1 species